rnacentral:rRNA from 1 species
GACGAACGCUGGCGGCGUGCUUAACACAUGCAAGUCGAACGGAAAGGCCCUGCUUUUGUGGGGUGCUCGAGUGGCGAACGGGUGAGUAACACGUGAGUAACCUGCCCUUGACUUUGGGAUAACCUCAGGAAACUGGGGCUAAUACCGGAUAGGAGCUCCUGCUGCAUGGUGGGGGUUGGAAAGUUUCGGCGGUUGGGGAUGGACUCGCGGCUUAUCAGCUUGUUGGUGGGGUAGUGGCUUACCAAGGCUUUGACGGGUAGCCGGCCUGAGAGGGUGACCGGCCACAUUGGGACUGAGAUACGGCCCAGACUCCUACGGGAGGCAGCAGUGGGGAAUAUUGCACAAUGGGCGGAAGCCUGAUGCAGCAACGCCGCGUGCGGGAUGACGGCCUUCGGGUUGUAAACCGCUUUCGCCUGUGACGAAGCGUGAGUGACGGUAAUGGGUAAAGAAGCACCGGCUAACUACGUGCCAGCAGCCGCGGUGAUACGUAGGGUGCGAGCGUUGUCCGGAUUUAUUGGGCGUAAAGGGCUCGUAGGUGGUUGAUCGCGUCGGAAGUGUAAUCUUGGGGCUUAACCCUGAGCGUGCUUUCGAUACGGGUUGACUUGAGGAAGGUAGGGGAGAAUGGAAUUCCUGGUGGAGCGGUGGAAUGCGCAGAUAUCAGGAGGAACACCAGUGGCGAAGGCGGUUCUCUGGGCCUUUCCUGACGCUGAGGAGCGAAAGCGUGGGGAGCGAACAGGCUUAGAUACCCUGGUAGUCCACGCUGUAAACGGUGGGUACUAGGUGUGGGGUCCAUUCCACGGGUUCCGUGCCGUAGCUAACGCUUUAAGUACCCCGCCUGGGGAGUACGGCCGCAAGGCUAAAACUCAAAGGAAUUGACGGGGCCCCGCACAAGCGGCGGAGCAUGCGGAUUAAUUCGAUGCAACGCGUAGAACCUUACCUGGGUCUGACAUGGAUCGGGAGUGCUCAGAGAUGGGUGUGCCUCUUUUGGGGUCGGUUCACAGGUGGUGCAUGGCUGUCGUCAGCUCGUGUCGUGAGAUGUUGGGUUAAGUCCCGCAACGAGCGCAACCCUUGUUCACUGUUGCCAGCACGUUAUGGUGGGGACUCAGUGGAGACCGCCGGGGCCAACUCGGAGGAAGGUGGGGAUGACGUCAAGUCAUCAUGCCCCUUAUGUCCAGGGCUUCACGCAUGCUACAAUGGCUGGUACAGAGAGUGGCGAGCCUGUGAGGGUGAGCGAAUCUCGGAAAGCCGGUCUCAGUUCGGAUUGGGGUCUGCAACUCGACCUCAUGAAGUCGGAGUCGCUAGUAAUCGCAGAUCAGCAACGCUGCGGUGAAUACGUUCCCGGGGCU